rnacentral:rRNA from 1 species
GGUUAAGCGACUAAGCGUACACGGUGGAUGCCCUGGCAGUCAGAGGCGAUGAAGGACGUGCUAAUCUGCGAUAAGCGCCGGUAAGGUGAUAUGAACCGUUAUAACCGGCGAUUUCCGAAUGGGGAAACCCAGUGUGAUUCGUCACACUAUCAUUAACUGAAUCCAUAGGUUAAUGAGGCGAACCGGGGGAACUGAAACAUCUAAGUACCCCGAGGAAAAGAAAUCAACCGAGAUUCCCCCAGUAGCGGCGAGCGAACGGGGAGGAGCCCAGAGCCUGAAUCAGCAUGUGUGUUAGUGGAAGCGUCUGGAAAGGCGCGCGAUACAGGGUGACAGCCCCGUACACAAAAGCGCAUGUGCUGUGAGCUCGAUGAGUAGGGCGGGACACGUGGUAUCCUGUCUGAAUAUGGGGGGACCAUCCUCCAAGGCUAAAUACUCCUGACUGACCGAUAGUGAACCAGUACCGUGAGGGAAAGGCGAAAAGAACCCCGGCGAGGGGAGUGAAAAAGAACCUGAAACCGUGUACGUACAAGCAGUGGGAGCACAGGUUUACCUGUGUGACUGCGUACCUUUUGUAUAAUGGGUCAGCGACUUAUAUUCUGUAGCAAGGUUAACCGUAUAGGGGAGCCGCAGGGAAACCGAGUCUUAAUUGGGCGUUAAGUUGCAGGGUAUAGACCCGAAACCCGGUGAUCUAGCCAUGGGCAGGUUGAAGGUUGGGUAACACUAACUGGAGGACCGAACCGACUAAUGUUGAAAAAUUAGCGGAUGACCUGUGGCUGGGGGUGAAAGGCCAAUCAAACCGGGAGAUAGCUGGUUCUCCCCGAAAGCUAUUUAGGUAGCGCCUCGUGAAUUCAUCUCCGGGGGUAGAGCACUGUUUCGGCUAGGGGGCCAUCCCGGCUUACCAACCCGAUGCAAACUGCGAAUACCGGAGAAUGUUAUCACGGGAGACACACGGCGGGUGCUAACGUCCGUCGUGAAGAGGGAAACAACCCAGACCGCCAGCUAAGGUCCCAAAGUCAUGGUUAAGUGGGAAACGAUGUGGGAAGGCCCAGACAGCCAGGAUGUUGGCUUAGAAGCAGCCAUCAUUUAAAGAAAGCGUAAUAGCUCACUGGUCGAGUCGGCCUGCGCGGAAGAUGUAACGGGGCUAAACCAUGCACCGAAGCUGCGGCAGCGACACUGUGUGUUGUUGGGUAGGGGAGCGUUCUGUAAGCCUGUGAAGGUGGCCUGUGAGGGUUGCUGGAGGUAUCAGAAGUGCGAAUGCUGACAUAAGUAACGAUAAAGCGGGUGAAAAGCCCGCUCGCCGGAAGACCAAGGGUUCCUGUCCAACGUUAAUCGGGGCAGGGUGAGUCGACCCCUAAGGCGAGGCCGAAAGGCGUAGUCGAUGGGAAACGGGUUAAUAUUCCCGUACUUGGUGUUACUGCGAAGGGGGGACGGAGAAGGCUAUGUUGGCCGGGCGACGGUUGUCCCGGUUUAAGCGUGUAGGUGUGUGUUCCAGGUAAAUCCGGUUCACUUUAACACUGAGGCGUGAUGACGAGGCACUACGGUGCUGAAGCAACAAAUGCCCUGCUUCCAGGAAAAGCCUCUAAGCAUCAGGUAACAUCAAAUCGUACCCCAAACCGACACAGGUGGUCAGGUAGAGAAUACCAAGGCGCUUGAGAGAACUCGGGUGAAGGAACUAGGCAAAAUGGUGCCGUAACUUCGGGAGAAGGCACGCUGACAUGUAGGUGAAGUGAUUUACUCAUGGAGCUGAAGUCAGUCGAAGAUACCAGCUGGCUGCAACUGUUUAUUAAAAACACAGCACUGUGCAAACACGAAAGUGGACGUAUACGGUGUGACGCCUGCCCGGUGCCGGAAGGUUAAUUGAUGGGGUCAGCGCAAGCGAAGCUCCUGAUCGAAGCCCCGGUAAACGGCGGCCGUAACUAUAACGGUCCUAAGGUAGCGAAAUUCCUUGUCGGGUAAGUUCCGACCUGCACGAAUGGCGUAAUGAUGGCCAGGCUGUCUCCACCCGAGACUCAGUGAAAUUGAACUCGCUGUGAAGAUGCAGUGUACCCGCGGCAAGACGGAAAGACCCCGUGAACCUUUACUAUAGCUUGACACUGAACAUUGAGCCUUGAUGUGUAGGAUAGGUGGGAGGCUUUGAAGCGUGGACGCCAGUCUGCGUGGAGCCGGCCUUGAAAUACCACCCUUUAAUGUUUGAUGUUCUAACGUGGACCCGUGAUCCGGGUUGCGGACAGUGUCUGGUGGGUAGUUUGACUGGGGCGGUCUCCUCCUAAAGAGUAACGGAGGAGCACGAAGGUUGGCUAAUCCUGGUCGGACAUCAGGAGGUUAGUGCAAUGGCAUAAGCCAGCUUGACUGCGAGCGUGACGGCGCGAGCAGGUGCGAAAGCAGGUCAUAGUGAUCCGGUGGUUCUGAAUGGAAGGGCCAUCGCUCAACGGAUAAAAGGUACUCCGGGGAUAACAGGCUGAUACCGCCCAAGAGUUCAUAUCGACGGCGGUGUUUGGCACCUCGAUGUCGGCUCAUCACAUCCUGGGGCUGAAGUAGGUCCCAAGGGUAUGGCUGUUCGCCAUUUAAAGUGGUACGCGAGCUGGGUUUAGAACGUCGUGAGACAGUUCGGUCCCUAUCUGCCGUGGGCGCUGGAGAACUGAGGGGGGCUGCUCCUAGUACGAGAGGACCGGAGUGGACGCAUCACUGGUGUUCGGGUUGUCAUGCCAAUGGCACUGCCCGGUAGCUAAAUGCGGAAGAGAUAAGUGCUGAAAGCAUCUAAGCACGAAACUUGCCCCGAGAUGAGUUCUCCCUGAGACUUAAAGUCUCCUGAAGGAACGUUGAAGACGACGACGUUGAUAGGCCGGGUGUGUAAGCGCAGCGAUGCGUUGAGCUAACCGGUACUAAUGAACCGUGAGGCUUAACCUU